rnacentral:rRNA from 1 species
CCCUUCGGGGUGUGACUGCGUACCUUUUGUAUAAUGGGUCAGCGACUUAUAUUCUGUAGCAAGGUUAACCGUAUAGGGGAGCCGUAGGGAAACCGAGUCUUAACCGGGCGUUAAGUUGCAGGGUAUAGACCCGAAACCCGGUGAUCUAGCCAUGGGCAGGUUGAAGGUUGGGUAACACUAACUGGAGGACCGAACCGACUAAUGUUGAAAAAUUAGCGGAUGACCUGUGGCUGGGGGUGAAAGGCCAAUCAAACCGGGAGAUAGCUGGUUCUCCCCGAAAGCUAUUUAGGUAGCGCCUCGUGAAUUCAUCUCCGGGGGUAGAGCACUGUUUCGGCUAGGGGGCCAUCCCGGCUUACCAACCCGAUGCAAACUGCGAAUACCGGAGAAUGUUAUCACGGGAGACACACGGCGGGUGCUAACGUCCGUCGUGAAGAGGGAAACAACCCAGACCGCCAGCUAAGGUCCCAAAGUCAUGGUUAAGUGGGAAACGAUGUGGGAAGGCCCAGACAGCCAGGAUGUUGGCUUAGAAGCAGCCAUCAUUUAAAGAAAGCGUAAUAGCUCACUGGUCGAGUCGGCCUGCGCGGAAGAUGUAACGGGGCUAAACCAUGCACCGAAGCUGCGGCAGCGACACUGUGUGUUGUUGGGUAGGGGAGCGUUCUGUAAGCCUGUGAAGGUGGCCUGUGAGGGUUGCUGGAGGUAUCAGAAGUGCGAAUGCUGACAUAAGUAACGAUAAAGCGGGUGAAAAGCCCGCUCGCCGGAAGACCAAGGGUUCCUGUCCAACGUUAAUCGGGGCAGGGUGAGUCGACCCCUAAGGCGAGGCCGAAAGGCGUAGUCGAUGGGAAACGGGUUAAUAUUCCCGUACUUGGUGUUACUGCGAAGGGGGGACGGAGAAGGCUAUGUUGGCCGGGCGACGGUUGUCCCGGUUUAAGCGUGUAGGUGUGUGUUCCAGGUAAAUCCGGUUCACUUUAACACUGAGGCGUGACGACGAGGCACUACGGUGCUGAAGCAACAAAUGCCCUGCUUCCAGGAAAAGCCUCUAAGCAUCAGGUAACAUCAAAUCGUACCCCAAACCGACACAGGUGGUCAGGUAGAGAAUACCAAGGCGCUUGAGAGAACUCGGGUGAAGGAACUAGGCAAAAUGGUGCCGUAACUUCGGGAGAAGGCACGCUGACAC